CGUCGCUACUCUGUUAACAAAAAUCUCAUUAGGCUGUUCUUCCACAAUUUACCCAGGACAACCAAGUUUGUCCCUCUAACUAGAGCAUCUUUAAUAUGUGGUUAAGUUGACAGUCCAAAAAAGAUGAUGCAGGCAUUCAGGGGAAGCUAAGUACUCAAUUUGGUUGGGAAACCCUAUGUAUUUGGAGUUAAGUGCAGAGUUCCUGGAGAACAAAGAAAUAAUCUUUAUUCUCCACAUCACUCAGGGUUCUUUUGCAAUUUCAGCAAUAUAUGGCUAAAAAUUAUUUUUACUCUCAACAAAUAUUUUGGAAGAAAAUGGGACAAGUUUAUACUCUUAUCCUUCUUUAGAGAGAAUUUUGACACUGGUAAGAAUAUUAGUUAUGUGUUCCUGAAUUAACCUAUGAUGUCAUAGUGCAUUUGGGUGUGGUGUUUUGGUACUUAAUCUAAAACUAUCCUAUCAGGAGUAUCUAGAAUUAAGACACUGAGUGGGAAGAGAGAUACAAAUAUGUCCAUAGAAAUAUGGAAGGUUUUAAGCCAGAAAAUCCUUAAAUGAAGGUCUGUAGCAGUAUCUCUCCAGAUAUUUAAAAAUACAAUGAUCACCAAAAUAUGCUAUAAAUGUUUAAAAUGGACUCCUAUCGAAAGUUCAGAGGUUAAAGAUGAUGUUGUUUAUGGUACUCCUAGAAAUUGAUUCUUCUUUAUUUUUUCUUUUCGUUGAGUUUAAUUGCCACUAGAAUUAUUUUCAAGUUAAGAAGAUAAGAGGAUUGACUUUUUAAACUUCAAAAUGAACUUCCCUGCUGUGACUGACUAUAUUCCCCAGUAUGGAGAAUUUUUAAAAACAUCUGAGGAAGAUAGAAAACAUUUUAUCUUUCAAGAUAAAAAAAGAAAAGCUCUUUGCCAACAGAAAACAUAAUAUGCGGACUCUAUGGCUAUUGUUUCUGAAAAAUAUAAGAGAUGAUUACAUCACAUUGUGUAUUCUGUAGGAAAAACACUGUAAUGCUUAUAUGGCUAAUAAUGGAAUGAUCUAAGUCAAUAUAUUGUGCAGUUUUGAGUGACAGAAGAAUUACACCAUUAUUCUUUGUAUUUUGGUUUCUGCACUAAGUUAGUCAUGUUCACUGUUUCAUCAUCAAUUAUCAUUCACUCAUUUUAUAAAAUUUUAGCAUCUGCAUUUAAUGUUACUGUAUGGUUUCUGUUUACUACAGCUGGUUGCAAUAGACACAGAUGACAAUUUCAGAGCUGUGUAUAAAAGGUCACAAAAAGUAAACAUUCAAAACAGAAACAUCUUACUUCCAGAAAGUAUAAAAUUGACGUAUGAGUAAGAUGUCAAAAGUUAUGAAAACUGGAAUGUGUUCAUCUCAUUACAUGUAAAUGCAUCUAUUUGAAAAAUGUGUUUUUUAAAGUAGAUCAUUAGGUAACAUUAGUCUUAAAAAUCAUAAAUUCUCCAUCAUUAUGAUUGUUCUAUGUUACCAAUUACAUAUAAAUGUUAAAUUACAGAGAAAACAAAUAGAAAAUAAUCAUCACAUGUUUAAAAAUUUGCAAAAAUAUAAAAAGUUAUAAAAAAAUUCAGUUCAAGAAGUAGAACAAAGGGCAUAAAAAUAGUACUUACUGUAAAGACAAAACCACAUAAUUUAUAUAAUACAUAUUUUAUAGAAUUUUAGUUAUACUACACACACACAUGCACACACACACACACACACACACACACACACACUAAAUGCUAAAAUGUGGAAUAAAAAAUUUACAGUGGGAGGGCAGGCAGAACAAGGUGACAAGAUAGCUAUACCUCCAAAUCUAUAUCCUCCAUCACCAAGACUUAUCUUGAAGUGUUAAACCUAGAAGUGUAUCCAGUAACCAGCCUUCAGAAGAAUAUUUUUUCCAAAGUGCUGUUGAAUUAAAAUCAUAAACAGCUAAUGGAAUAGGAAUGAAAUAAUUAUUUUCUUUCAUUUGCUGGAGAAAAUACUGAGCUAUGAGCUUUUCUUUUCACUACUGGGGUUAAAAUUUUAAGCAUUCUAUUCUUAAAGGAGUGUCUUUUUUCUAAAGAUUUACGUUCAGCAGCUGAAUUUUAAAGCUCUGAGAACACAGCAGUUAUAUGUUAAGCCUAGUGCAAACCUGACCUAGAUUAUUUUCACUGGCUAAAAAUUAUGAAAAAUAUCAAUAAUUUUAUUGGCAAAAAGAUACAUAGAAUAAGUAGUAAUCUUAAGAACUGAACAAGGCAUCCAGACAUACUGAAAAAUAUGGGGCAAAGCAAUUAGAGAAAAAUUAGUCAUUUUCUUCUAGAUAGAUUAUAUAUUCUUUAACAGUAAGGUUUAUGACUAUUAUCUUUAUUUCCCCACCUGCUCUUCCAGGAAUAGCUGCAUAUAAUAGUUACUAAAUACAUAUUUUUAAAUUAUCAGGUUUCCUUUUAAUUCAUGUAACGUUUUAAUCUGUAAAUGUAAUCACAGAAAGUCACCUCAUUUUUAGCUUUACUGAUUGGAGAUGAGGAUUGAUAUUACGAUAAGAGUGAUAUAACAUAUGGUAGACCUAAGUGCAUGAAUUUUGUAUUCCCAGGUAUCAUUUAAAUUUCCUGUCAUUUUAUGUUGUUAUUUGUAAUAUCUUUGUGUUAACAUGCCUCAUGGUAAUUUAGGAGCAGUGACACAGUCUUACUAAAAAAAUGCUAGGGCUCUUGGCUUAAAAUGUUCACUUGCAUUUAAUAUUACAGAAAUUUACAUGUUGGGAUUAAGUGGCCUGAAAAUGUAAGAUAAAAUGGAAGUAAUGCAACCUACUGCAAUAAUAUUGUGCCAAUAUUCAGGCAGGGCACAGAGGAAAAACACAACAGGUUUUGAAACCAGUCAAAUUAAUCACAGCCUAAGCUGGACAAGAGAGAGGGAACAAUUGCUAUUCAUCAGAUCAUGCUGUGAUGAUGAAGGAAACAGAUCUGAUAAUUUGAUUACUGGGCUAUAGAUACAGAAUUUUGGAAAUCUUUCUCAAGUAACUAACUUCUGGGAAUGUGUGCAAGUAUUUCUAUGGCUUGGAAGUAGGAGUUGAAUCGCUCUUAUAACUCGUAUGUUUUAAGGUGAGCAACCCAGACACAACAAAAACUGUUCAAAUAUGAGAUCAAGCAAUAAUUCAUGAUUCACAGACAACAAUCAGGGAAAGGGAGCUAAUAGUAUGAAACUGAUGAACAGAAUAUCAGAGUAGUAGCCCUUGAGGUAUUAUGAGCCAGAGAUCUAUACAUGCAAUUAUAGGCUUCCACUUUUCAUUUUAAUGUCAUGUUAACCCCUUAAAACCUUUUAUUUGUGUCCAAUAGAAUCAAUGUACCUAAUAGUCAUUCACCUCAUAGACUCUACCUCAGGGUGGUAAUUUGAGAGCCUGGAAUGCCAGCUGAGGGAAGACAUGGGAAGACAGCCAAGAUCAGCACUGCCUUUCUGUCAGCCCCUACUUGAUUUUCCUUGCAUCAGUGGUGCUAUCUAAAGGAAUUGCUAAAUGGACUGAUGGAUGUAUUUGUUAAUAAUGACUUUAUCUAUAUAAUGAAGUGAUGGUUGGUAUUCCUGGCCUCUGAGAAUUUUUGAAUCCAGAUUUUAUAAAAUAUAUAAGUCUUGCAUUACUCUGAGGCAGCAAGACAGUGUAUCUCUUUGAAAUGAAGGUGAACUUGACUAAAAUUUCAGGUCUAACAUUUUCUAGCUGUAUGACUUUGGACACCUCGGUUAUUCUCUUUUCCUCACUUUCUUCUUUUAUAAAAUGGAGAUGUUACAUGUCCAUUUAUAUGGUUCAUAUAGCAAACACUUCAUAUGGUUGCUGUAAAGAGAAAAUGAAAUCAUCUAUGUGAACUGCUUACUGGAAUACUGACAGGUAGAAGAUGCUUACUUGUUAAUAGCUAUUUCUAUGGCCACAAGAUGCUCUUAACUAUUUAAAAGCUUCAUCAUUUGAAAGUGAAUACUAUUAUUUAAACUUGAGAGCUAUCAAAUGCAUUUCAUAUUUUCUGUUUGAAAAAUAUGAUGUAAAAUAAAUUAAUACCAAGGAAAUAUUGGUAGUUCACAAAGUCAUUUGCAAUAGUCUCCCAAGACUGAAUACUUUGGGGCACCAAAUUAUGGAAGGCUAGAUAAGUGCUUCUGCAUUUUAAUAAGUGAAGCUGAUACUACAACUUUUUAAAGUAAUGAUGUAUUUUCAUGGCUCCUGUCUCUGUAAAAGCCAAGUGUUCAAAGAAAUGCAUUAAAAAAUUAAUGGAUAUACGAAUGCUUUUGGUCUCCACUCUCUUCUUGCUAUGACAGACAAAACAAUGGGUGAAAGGAGAGCUUAUUAUUUCAAAGAGAUAAUUCCUUAAGUUAAAAUGGCA
rnacentral:lncRNA from 1 species